UACGUAGGGUGCGAGCGUUAAUCGGAAUUACUGGGCGUAAAGCGUGCGCAGGCGGUUAUUUAAGUCAGGUGUGAAAGCCCUGGGCUUAACCUAGGAAUUGCGCUUGAGACUGGAUAGCUUGGAGUGCGGCAGAGGGAGGUGGAAUUCCACGUGUAGCAGUGAAAUGCGUAGAGAUGUGGAGGAACACCGAUGGCGAAGGCAGCCUCCUGGGCCAGCACUGACGCUCAUGUGCGAAAGCGUGGGGAGCAAACAGG
rnacentral:rRNA from 1 species